AAGCGUGCGACAGGCGGUUUUGUAAGACUGUCGUGAAAUCCCCGGGCUCAACCUGGGAAUGGCGAUGGUGACUGCAAGGCUAGAAUUUGGCAGAGGGGGGUAGAAUUCCACGUGUAGCAGUGAAAUGCGUAGAUAUGUGGAGGAACACCGAUGGCGAAGGCAGCCCCCUGGGUCAAAACUGACGCUCAUGCACGAAAGCGUGGGGAGCAAACAGGAUUAGAUACCCGGGU
rnacentral:rRNA from 1 species